rnacentral:tRNA from 1 species
GCGUGCAUAGCAUAGUGGUAAUGCAGUAGCCUUCCAAGCUACUGAGGAGGGUUCGAUUCCCUCUGUCCGCUCCA